rnacentral:rRNA from 1 species
UACAUGGGGUGCAACCGUUGCUCGGAAUCAUUGGGCGUAAAGCGCGCGUAGGCGGUUGCUUAAGUCGGAUGUGAAAGCCCUCGGCUUAACUGAGGAAGUGCAUCCGAAACUGAGCAGCUAGAGUACGAAAGAGGGUCGCGGAAUUCCCGGUGUAGAGGUGAAAUUCGAGAUAUCGGGAGGAACACCGGAGGCGAAGGCGGCUUGCUGGGCAUUGUCUGACGCUGAGGCGCGAAAGCGUGGGGAGCGAACAGG